GAUCCUGGCUCAGAUUGAACGCUGGCGGCAUGCUUUACACAUGCAAGUCGAACGGCAGCGGGGUAGUGCUUGCACUACUGCCGGCGAGUGGCGAACGGGUGAGUAAUAUAUCGGAACGUACCGAGUAAUGGGGGAUAACCAAUCGAAAGAUUGGCUAAUACCGCAUACGUCCUGAGGGAGAAAGACGGGGGAGUCGCAAGACCUCGCGUUAUUCGAGCGGCCGAUAACUGAUUAGCUAGUUGG
rnacentral:rRNA from 1 species